rnacentral:rRNA from 1 species
UACGUAGGGGGCAAGCGUUGUCCGGAAUCAUUGGGCGUAAAGAGCGUGUAGGCGGUCCGGUCAGUCGGUUGUGAAAGUCAAGGGCUCAACCCUUGAAUGCCGGUUGAUACUGUCGGGCUAGAGUCCGGAAGAGGCGAGUGGAAUUCCCGGUGUAGCGGUGAAAUGCGCAGAUAUCGGGAGGAACACCAAUGGCGAAGGCAGCUCGCUGGGACGGUACUGACGCUGAGACGCGAAAGCGUGGGGGAGCAAACAGG